AGAUGAUCCUGGAUCAUGGAGCCAUGAAGAUGUUGAUAGUUGGAUAUCAGGAACAGAUGAUGUCAAUCACUAAUGGAUCACAGUUGACCAGGGGAAACUAAAAUCAUGGGAAACAAAACCAUGGAUAAGGCAGUACUACUGUAUACAGUUGGCCCUCCAUAGCCAUGCACUCUGCAUCAGUGGAUUCAAUCAGCCAUGGAUAAAAAAAUGUUUGAAAAGUUUAAAAGAAUGGUUGUUUCUGUACUGAACAGGUUAGGUGUUCAAGCUGUGUUAAAUCACAUCCCUGAUGUUUAUGUGGUCAGGAUAUGUGCCCUUGAGUGACCAAGCAGAAGUGAGUGGAACUUUCUACCAUGCUUUGUAUGCUAAGACUUCCAUCAACGAGUGAUUUUCUUGCUUUAAAUUUAAUGCUGACUCCAUUCAAGCAGAAAAUAGAUUUGAAGACAAUGAAAAAUGUGCCACUUUAUUUCCCUAAGGCCUUCUCUGCACAGUAGGCCUUGAACAAAAGUAAUUUCAUAAGGAGAGACAAACAACUAAGUGAAUCUUCAAAUACAAAAAUUUAUUGUUUUUUUUUGCUAAAUUAUUUUACUAAGUAUUGAUUUUCUGAUUCUUAUUAUCCAUCUUCAGAUCACAAGGCUUAGUGUAGAAUUUGCUUACACUGUGAUAACAAAAUUCAUAAUCAAAUGGGAAGAGGAAAUAAUCCUACCGUGGUGCAUGCCAUUUUUCUAUCCAAGGGAACCUCGUAAGUUGCUGAUAAGAAUAAAUUGCAGUGAAUGAGAAAAUCAUGAAAAGUCAAAAAUUAAAGGAUCCUUAGUGAUAACCUGGCACAGUGAUUAUUUUUUCCCUUCCAAGGGGAGGAACAUUUUAUUUUUUGAAUUGGAACAUUUUUGUUGCUGUUUUUCUACAUGGUCACCAUGUUUUUAGAAUAUCUUCUAAUGUAGUAACAUUGUAUUUAUUGAGAAAUAACGGCUAAUACUGAAUUUGUUCAAUUUCAAAAAUGGGAAAAUGUGCAGAGUGUAUGAUCAUAAACAACAGUGGUAACAAUAGCAAGCAAAACAACUCUCUGGGAAAUCCAAAUAAUUCCUGACCUUCAAGAAAACCUAGCAGGUCUGAGGAGGUGAUUGUCAUAGUUGAUUCCAGUGGGGUCUACGAUAGCAUAUCCCCUCAAACAAAGUUGAAAGAGAAAGGGACAGUUGAUUCCUUUAUGGAGUAAAGACCAUAGAAUAAGAUCAAACUGAGAGGCCAGAUUGUGCCUUCAAGAGCAUGGAGAGAAAUCUGAGAAAUACAUGACAAUGGAUUUGACAAGUGAGCAUAUGGAGGUAGAAGGAAUUAGUAAGUUUAAAAUGGAAGAAAGUUGAGAUUUAGAAAGAUACCUUUACAAAAUUCCUGGAUUGUCCAUUUCUAGUGUCCCUUCACUUGCUGGUGCCUCAUAAGUACAAUAGCUUAAAUGUCUAGAGAGAAGGAGGCCAUGUAGGAGACUUUAAGUUAUAUACAACCUCUAGGUGUCUUUGUUGGGCCCACAAAGUGCUUAUAGCUUCUAUUUGCUGUGUCUCUAGAACAUUUUGCAAGAAGUGGGACUUGUGUUACUGUAUGGUUCCAGUUUUCAAUGCUCAUGUGGUGGCUUCACCCUUUAAAUAGCACAGUAGGUAUGCUUUCCAAUUUGAAGACUCCAAUAUUCUCUGUUGUCUGACAAUCAGUCAACUUAACUUGUUUAAAUAAUUUGUCUGGCCUCUGAUGCAUUUGAAUUUGUCAUCUGAUAGAAACUGCUAUGAUAUUUGAAUUUUAAGGCAAAGUUACCAGGUUUUAAUGAGCACCUAAGAUCUUGCUGAAAUGUAGGUUGAAAUUCCCUAGGUCCAGGAUACUCCUUAAGGCUUGUCCGUCUAACAGGCUCCCAGGUGAUGCCAAUACUGAUGUUACACAGACCAUACUUCAAGGAACAAAGACUUAAAGCAAGUGUCUUCUUCUGGGGCCUGAGAAAAAUGUUUAUGUGAAGGUGAUUUAUUUGGUAAUAUGAUACCAGGGAAUAGGAAUACAGGGCAGGUAAGUGACACAGAGAAGGAAUAAAAGCCAAUACAAGGAUAGAUGAUCAAGUUGGCCGCUAGUGUGAAUAACUAGUGACCAGUCCCACUGGGAAUUUUUGCAGAGCUUUAUGAAAUAUAUGUCAAAAUUUGCUGCCUUGGGGAUAAUAGGGGGAAAAUUUCUAUCAGAUUUUGUUCCCAUUGGCCAAGGGUGGGUCCAUGAGCCCGCACUUCCAGGUUGCACAUGAAUGCUUGCAGAGACUUUUACUAUGACAGUCCCAUCUUUACACAUCAAAUGAAUCCCCAGAGUAUGAAACAGAAAUAGUUACAACAUGGACCAAGACAAUGUGCUGUUCAAGUUGCUCCUCCAGGAAACUAGUCAAGGCCUACUUAAAUCAGUUGUCACAGAAACUAUGAACGACUAAGAAGAUUUUGAAGUGAUGCAUGAGAACUCUAAGAUGCUUUAGUAUGACUAUACAAUGCCCUGAGCUGGAGCACUUGGCCACAAAACUCAUGUCUCUUGGAGGCAAAAGCCAAAUGACCUUUCCAGCAGUAUGCAACAUUGCUUUUCCCAAAGCAAAAUCAUGAUUUUGCCAUGCUAAUGGUAAAACCAUAGGCACAUUGCCAGACAAUGUUUCUAGGAAGAAAAGAAUGUUUUGUUUUGUUUUUCUUCUUUUAAGAUUAAUAGAUGACCUUUAAGGGACUGGUAAAAGUUAGUGUAGCCUCUUCUUCUUCCAGAGUUUCUGUGGCCCCUUCGUGCCUUCCAGUUCAUGAAAUGGUCACUAGUUGGCAGAGAAUCAGACCCAAAUCUUCUUUCUACUCUCUAAAUGGAAGCCAUACUCUGUAGUGGAAUUAUUAUGCACUAUUAGUACAUGAUACAUGUGCACAUACAGAUGUAUAAGAAAUCUCUCUCCUUUGAAGGAGUAUUCCUUUUAGCAUUCCUGAUAAUGCUACUGAACCAAACUAUGUCUGUAUUCCCUAUGGGAGUCCAAAAGCUUAUCACCACUACCAAAACAAUGGCUAGAGAAACUAAGCACCCGUGGGUUGUAGGUGGUUCACCCUUUCACUUUUUAAACUAUAUAUCUAAAACCAGAGUGGAAUGACAGCUUAUUAGAGCAAUGUGACAUUCUUUAUGUAAUUAGAAUGUGUCCAAACAUUUAUUCUGUGCAAUAAACAUUUAAACCAGAAUUCACUGUUU